AUGGCUGUCGUCAGCUCGUGUCGUGAGAUGUUGGGUUAAGUCCCGUAACGAGCGCAACCCUUAUCCUUAGUUGCCGGCGAGUUAAGUCGGGAACUCUAAGGAGACUGCCGGUGACAAACCGGAGGAAGGCGGGGACGACGUCAAGUCAUCAUGGCCCUUACGGGUAGGGCUACACACGUGCUACAAUGGUUAGUACAGAGGGAUGCGAAGCGGCGACGCGGAGCGAAACCUAAAAAGCUAAUCGCAGUCCGGAUUGGAGUCUGCAACUCGACUCCAUGAAGUCGGAAUCGCUAGUAAUCGCGAAUCAGCAUGUCGCGGUGAAUACGUUCCCGGGCCUUGUACACACCGCCCGUCACACCAUGGGAGUGGGUUUCACCAGAAGCAGCUAGCCUAACCGCAAGGGGGGCGGUUGCCACGGUGAGAUUCAUGACUGGGGUGAAGUCGUAACAAGGUAGCCGUAUCGGAAGGUGCGGCUGGAUCACCUCCUUUCUAGAGAGCGCAUUAUGCUCAGUGCUCACACUUAUCGGUUGUAUUGAAGGCAAGCGCUGGGUUCGUGGCUCGUGGUUCGUGGCUCGUGGCUUGGGGCUCGUGGCUUGGGGCUGGCAGCUUUGGGUCUGGGGUCUGUAGCUCAGUUGGUUAGGGCACCGUCUUGAUAAGGCGGGGGUCGAUGGUUCGAACCCAUCCAGACCCACCAAUCGAGGGAGCCGACUGUAGCAAAGUCAGCCGGGGGUGUAGCUCAGUUGGGAGAGCGCGUGCUUUGCAAGCAUGAGGUCAUCGGUUCGAUCCCGUUCACCUCCACCAGUACUGUGUGCUCACCUGGGGGGAUGUGUGAGGCGGGAGUGGUUCGCAAAAGGUUCUAGCCAAAGAUCAUAGCCAAGCAAGUCCAAAGCGGGCUUAUUUGGCUCUGGUUUUUUGACCGGAGGAUGUGGCCAAUUUCGGUUGGUGCAUCGGCUGUUCUUUAACAAUCUGGAGAAGUAAAGUGUGACGGUUCGAUGUUUUGAGCCGGGGGCUGAGGUAUUGCCUCUGGUUUGGAUGCGAAUCGACACAGGGUAGUGAUUGUAUCGACUGGCUCUCGUUUCAGAAUUUGGGAUGGGGGCUGGCACAAGCGCGAGAAGUAUUCCUGUGACUGAGGGGCCUGGGUGAGUACCAGGGCUUAAGGUUAUAGGGUCAAGCGAAUAAGUGCAUGUGGUGGAUGCCUUGGCGAUCACAGGCGAUGAAGGAUGUAGUAGCUUGCGAAAAGUCGCGGGGAGCUAGCAAACGAGCUUUGAUCCGCGAAUAUCCGAAUGGGGAAACCCGG
rnacentral:sRNA from 1 species